AUAAAUGAAUGAAUGAUGAAUAAGAAAGACCGUGAGCCUGAGGCUUGCUUGUGUAGCCUGGCCUAAGGGGCGGGAGAAGGCGUGGCCUGUCCUGGCCUCUGAGAAUGGGAUGGUUGGUGCUGGACCUCAAGGGACAGGGAGGGGCGGGAGGAGGCGGGCCCAGGCCUGGUCUCUGAUAAUGGGAUGGGUGGUGCUGGACCUCUGGGGACGGGGCCGGGCGUCGUGGCGGGAGGAGGCAGGACAGGGCCUCUGGGACGGGGCUGGACGGCUUGUUGCCGGAAACGAGCCCUUGACGCUGUGGCCCGGAAGUGGAGCGGCUGUCGCAGUGCGGCUCCAACAGUGGCGCGGAGGCCUGUGUUUGCGGCCUCCGGCAAGCGACUAAAAUGGCGAGCGCAACUGCACCUGCAGCCGCAGUCCCCACCCUGGCUUCGCCUCUGGGGCAGCUCCGGCACUUGGCGGAGGAGCUGCGGUUGCUCCUGCCUCGAGUGCGGGUCGGCGAAGCCCAGGAGACCACCGAGGAGUUUAAUCGAGAGAUGUUCUGGAGAAGACUCAGUGAGUGCGCCUCCUUCCGGUCUCCCCUUGCCUCAGUUCCUCCAGCGUCCCGACCCCUUUUCCUCCCGCUGUCCCCCAGGGAGGGGACUGCCCUCCCCCGCUGCAUCCUUUCCGUGAGGUACCUUACCCACCUCAGCACCUGAGAGGGUGAAAUAGAAUUCUAACCUCGACAUUCGGGAGGUGUUUUUGAGAAGUCUCGGUCGGUAAGGGAAAUCUUCCAAGUCCGUGCAGCACUAACGUAUUGGCACCUGCCUCCUCUUCGGCCACCCCCCAGAUGAGGCAGCUGUGACAGUGUCAAGGGAAGCCACGACUCUGACCACAGUCUUCUCUCAGCUUCCACUGCCGUCUGCACAGGAAACCCAGAAGUUCUGUGAACAGGUCCAUGCUGCCAUCAAGGCAUUUAUUGCAGUGUACUAUUUGCUUCCAAAGGAUCAGGGAAUCACCCUGAGAAAGCUGGUACGGGGCGCCACCCUGGACAUCGUGGAUGGCAUGGCUCAGCUCAUGGAAGUACUUUCCAUCACUCCAACUCAGAGUCCUGAGAACAAUGAACUUAUUUCCUACAACAGUGUCUGGGUUGCGUGCCAGCAGAUGCCUCACAUACCAAGAGAUAACAAAGCUGCAGCUCUUUUGAUGCUGACCAAGAAUGUGGAUUUUGUGAAGGAUGCACAUGAAGAAAUGGAGCGGGCUGUGGAAGAAUGCGACCCUUACUCUGGCCUCUUGAAUGAUACUGAGGAGAACAACUCUGACAACCACAAUGAUGAGGAUGAUGUGUUGGGAUUUCCAAGCAAUCAGGACUUGUAUUGGUCAGAGGACGAUCAAGAGCUCAUAAUCCCAUGCCUUGCGCUAGUGAGAGCAUCCAAAGCCUGCCUGAAGAAAAUUCGGAUCUUAGUGGCAGAGAAUGGGAAGAAGGAUCAGGUGGCACAGCUGGACGACAUUGUGGAUAUUUCUGAUGAAAUCAGCCCUAGUGUGGAUGAUUUGGCUCUGAGCAUAUAUCCACCUAUGUGUCACCUGACCGUGCGAAUCAAUGUAAGUACUGGCUUUGAGGGAAUAGCUACAGACCUAAUGGGCAGAAUUUCACUAAUCACUAGUAUUUCCUCUAAGGUAUAGGGUACAUAUUUAUUUGUCACAUUUGGAUGGAAAUACAACAGUAAUGUCACAGUUCUUGCAUGCGUCUGGGGUUGAUAAAUAUUCACUGAAGUUGAAUUAUAAUAGCCAUGAGCUUUGGUAGUUCUCUCUUCCAUAAUCACCUGGGUAAUCAUUUAGAAAAGCCCAAAGGCCUUAGAAAAUGAUGCUUUAAGGCUGGGCGCAGUAGCUCACACCUGUAAUCCCAGCACUCCAGGAGGCUGAGACAGGUGGAUCAGCUGAGAUCAGGAGUUGAGACCAGCCUGGCCAACAUGGCUAAACCUUGUCUCUACUAAGAAUACAAAAAUUAGCCAGGCAUCAUGCGCCUAUAAUCCCAGCUACUCGGAAGGCUGAGGCAGGAGAAUCGCUUGAACCUGGGAAGUGGAGGUUGCAGUGAGCCGAGAUCGCACCACUGCACUCCAGCC
rnacentral:sRNA from 1 species